AUUUUUUGUCAUACCCAGGUCUUGUCAAAGGCUGAUCUCACCAGAUCUCAGAAGCUAAGCAGAGCCAGGCCUGGUUAGUACUUGCAUACAAGACCUCUGGGAAUACCAGGUGCCACAGUG
rnacentral:rRNA from 1 species